rnacentral:rRNA from 1 species
AAGGAUCAUUAUUGAAAACAAGGGUGUCCAAUUUAACUUGGAACCCAAACUUCUCAAUUCUAACUUUGUGCAUCUGUAUUAAUGGCGAGCAACUUCGGUUGUGAGCCUUCACUUACAAAACACUAGUCUAUGAAUGUAAAAUUUUUAUAACAAAUAAAAACUUUCAACAACGGAUCUCUUGGCUCUCGCAUCGAUGAAGAACGCAGCGAAAUGCGAUACGUAAUGUGAAUUGCAGAAUUCAGUGAAUCAUCGAAUCUUUGAACGCAUCUUGCGCUCUCUGGUAUUCCGGAGAGCAUGUCUGUUUGAGUGUCAUGAAUUCUUCAACCCAAUCUUUUCUUGUAAUCGAUUGGUGUUUGGAUUCUGAGCGUUGCUGGCGUUUGCCUAGCUCGUUCGUAAUACAUUAGCAUCCCUAAUACAAGUUUGGAUUGACUUGGCGUAAUAGACUAUUCGCUAAGGAUUCGGUGGAAACAUCGAGCCAACUUCAUUAAGGAAGCUCCUAAUUUAAAAGUCUACCUUUUGAUUAGAUCUCAAAUCAGGCAGGAUUACCCGCUGAACUUAA